UUACGGCCAUAUCAUGUUGAAUCACCGGUUCCCCCAUGACCACCGAAGUUAAGCAACAUCGAGGUUGGUAGGUACCUUGAUGAGUGAUCGGUUGGGAAUACCAAGUACUGUAAU